rnacentral:rRNA from 1 species
AUUGAACGCUGGCGGCAUGCCUUACACAUGCAAGUCGAACGUGAAAGGGGGGCAACCCCCGAGUAGAGUGGCGGACGGGUGAGCAACACAUCGGAACGUACCCAGUAGUGGGGGACAACCUCGAGAAAUCGAGGCUAAUACCGCAUACGACCCACGGGUGAAAGCGGGGGACCGCAAGGCCUCGCGCUAUUGGAGCGGCCGAUGUCCGAUUAGCUUGUUGGUGGGGUAACGGCCCACCAAGGCGACGAUCGGUAGCUGGUCUGAGAGGAUGAUCAGCCACACUGGGACUGAGACACGGCCCAGACUCCUACGGGAGGCAGCAGUGGGGAAUUUUGGACAAUGGGGGCAACCCUGAUCCAGCCAUGCCGCGUGCGGGAAGAAGGCCUUCGG